UCUAUGAAGAAUACUUCUGAGAAGCUUGAUGACAACGGCACUCGACUGGGCAGUGAAGCACGGCAAUCUUGAGAUGGCAGAGAUGGUCGCCAAAGCAGGCGUCGAUGUCAAUGCUAAAUCGUCUGCACAGUAUUCCACAGAGCAGCUGUCCACAGCAAGAAACUCAUCAUUCACUCUCUGAUCAGCACAUACAGUGAAUGUAAUUUCCUACCAGUACCCAGGC